rfam:Triticum urartu cultivar G1812 contig998048, whole genome shotgun sequence.
AUAAUAUUACCUCCGUCCCAAAAAGCUUGUCUUAGAUUUAUGUAGAUACGGAUGAAUCUAACACUAAAACGUGUCUGGGUACAUCCGUAUAUAGACAAAUCUAAGAUAAGUUUUUUGGGAUGGAGGGAGUAUUAU